GAUGUCGGCUCAUCACAUCCUGGGGCUGUAGUAGGUCCCAAGGGUUGGGCUGUUCGCCCAUUAAAGUGGUACGCGAGCUGGGUUCAGAACGUCGUGAGACAGUUCGGUCCCUAUCCGUCGCAGGCGUAGGAAAUUUGAGAAGACCUGUCCUUAGUACGAGAGGACCGGGAUGGACGUACCUCUGGUGUACCAGUUGUCCUGCCAAGGGCAUGGCUGGGGAGCUAUGUACGGAAUGGAUAAGCGCUGAAAGCAUCUAAGCGCGAAGCCAACUUCAAGAUAAGAUUUCCCACCGCAAGGGUAAGACCCCAGAAAGACUAUCUGGUUGAUAGGUCGAAGGUGUAAGUGCAGCAAUGUAUUUAGCUUAUCGAUACUAAUAGGUCGAGGACUUGACCAAU
rnacentral:rRNA from 1 species